rnacentral:rRNA from 1 species
UACGGAGGGUGCAAGCGUUAUCCGGAUUCACUGGGUUUAAAGGGUGCGUAGGUGGGUUGGUAAGUCAGUGGUGAAAUCUCCAGGCUUAACUUGGAAACUGCCAUUGAUACUAUCAAUCUUGAAUACCGUGGAGGUCAGCGGAAUAUGUCAUGUAGCGGUGAAAUGCUUAGAGAUGACAUAGAACACCAAUUGCGAAGGCAGCUGGCUACGCGGAUAUUGACACUGAUGCACGAAAGCGUGGGGAUCAAACAGG